rnacentral:rRNA from 1 species
CGCUGGCGGCAGGCCUAACACAUGCAAGUCGAGCGCUCACUUCGGUGGGAGCGGCGGACGGGUUAGUAACGCGUGGGAACGUGCCCAGAUCUAAGGAAUAGCCACUGGAAACGGUGAGUAAUACCUUNUACGCCCUUCGGGGGAAAGAUUUAUCGGAUUUGGAUCGGCCCGCGUUAGAUUAGAUAGUUGGUGGGGUAAUGGCCUACCAAGUCUACGAUCUAUAGCUGGUUUUAGAGGAUGAUCAGCAACACUGGGACUGAGACACGGCCCAGACUCCUACGGGAGGCAGCAGUGGGGAAUCUUGGACAAUGGGGGCAACCCUGAUCCAGCCAUGCCGCGUGAGUGAUGAAGGCCUUAGGGUCGUAAAGCUCUUUCGCCAGGGAUGAUAAUGACAGUACCUGGUAAAGAAAUCCCGGCUAACUCCGUGCCAGCAGCCGCGGUAAUACGGAGGGGGUUAGCGUUGUUCGGAAUUACUGGGCGUAAAGCGCGCGUAGGC